CUUAAUCAUCUGAGCAUAUUCUUGGUUUUGGCUUCUCCAUCCUUGAGAAGCCAGCAUAUCAUGCAACAACAUAGUUCUAAGAAAACAGAGAACUUGCAAAUUAAUGUUGUCUUUUGUUGUGCUUUGCAAGAUCAUGAUCUGCUCUGACUCUAUAUAGGAAAUACUCAACUCGUCAUAGAGAAGAGACCAAAAGUCUCAGUCCCUUCCAUAACCUUCCCUUGAACCUAAACUGGUCAACAGUAUUAAUCUUCGUGGCGAUGGGAAGAAAAUGGUAAAUCAUGACCGCCAUGGCUCAAUAAGAAGGAAGAAAUAUUUCAGGAGACAAAGCGUCAUACAUAUACUCGGGUUUAUAUUAAGUCAUGGCAGAGGUGAAUUCAAGAUUUUGUGUCAAAGAUUCAGAAUGAUGAGUUCAGUUAAAUUUGGGUACCCAACAUGAGGGCGUCAAGACAAAUGAAGUGUACAAGUAAGGCAUGGAACUUAAGUGAAGAUUGAAAGUAUUUGUGUUCAAAUGCUUAGCAGAUCAGUGCUCACUUCUCAGAUAUCUGUCAUUGCCAAAAUGGUUCGCUAUUGGCAUUUUCUUCCAAGAAAACCUUCAAAUAUUUGAUGGUUUAAUUUCCACAUCUUUUCAAAAUUCAGGUUAAUUUGAGUCUUCUUUAUCAUCUUAUUGGAACUGUGAUUCUUCAUCACUUCUUUCAAUUUGCACUCAUGUUUAAUUAAGUAUGUCUUUUCAUAUGAAAAAGUUUCAAGUCUUUUUAGGAGCUAUAUUUUGCUAAAGAAUCGGUGCAAAUUUGAUGUAAA